rnacentral:rRNA from 1 species
CGCGUAGGUGGUAGUGCAAGUCUGAGGUGGAAUCUUAGGGCUUAACCCUAAAAUUGCCCUGGAAACUGCAUUACUUGAGUCAGUGAGGGGAGGGUAGAAUUCCUGGUGUAGCGGUGAAAUGCGUAGAUAUCAGGAGGAAGGCCGGUGGCGAAGGCGGCCCUCUGGCGCUGAACUGACACUGAGGCGCGAAAGCGUGGGGAGCAAACAGGAUUAGAUACCCUGGUAGUCCACGCCCUAAACGGUGGGUACUAGGUGUAGGGCUCGUAAGGGUUCUGUGCCGAAGCGAAAGCAUUAAGUACCCCGCCUGGGGAGUACGGCCGCAAGGUUGAA